rnacentral:misc_RNA from 1 species
GGCUACAAAAGAGUGAGGCAUCAUUGACUCUACCAUGCUUCAAGGUAUAGCCAAUGUUAGGUUUGUGUCUUGACUUCUUGAGGUUUCGACCUUCAGCUUGAAAAUAGGGGGGGCUUCAGUUGUUGGCUUUGAAAACGCUCUCUCACUCACACUUGAUUUACAGUUGAAAGAGCCAUCGGUCUUUGCUCUUCUAGACGACGCUACAGCCUCAUCGAAAGUUGAAGGAGAUCAGCGGUGUAUUGAGUGAACUUAUCGAUCUCUGAGCUUCGGGUCAAACGAAUUCGCUUGGCUAAAUUCUACGGUUUAUAGUUCAUGGACCUUUGAGCUUUGUUUUUAAGUUAGGGUUCUUCUUUUUUAAUAAAAAAGUUACGAUUGAUUGUGCCUCUAGAUCUAUUCUUCCAUUUAUGUCUCCAUGGCCUUAGGCAGAGUCGCAAGCUCUGAAGUGCAAGAGGGCCACCCCUAGCAAGGGCUAACUUAUUUUUGGGCAGUUUAGUUUAUAUAGAUCCUCAUAAAUUUUCCUUGCCAG